CCAUCGCCGUUCCUUCCCUUCUGUGCUACUGUUUUUGCUUCUCCACGGAGCUCUUCUAGAACCGUCUGGUCUUUGUCCAACAUCAACUGAUUCAAUAAACAGAUGAGAAAUGCCAGCUAUAUGAUUCUAUGCAAAACAAAAGGUUCUCGUCCGCUAUGAUAUGUGCCAGGGUUGCACCAUUGAUUCCUGCAAGGUCGUCUGAAAACAUCACAUCUUCCGGCCCGGCCGAGAGCUCUUCCUCCUCCGAUACUUUCUGUUUCAUGGCGUGAUCCCAGUCUUCGUAGACGACCAAGAUAUUUGUAGUUUCAGUCGUCUCCAGGGUUCUGUUAGCGCCGUGCUGCCAACAAACAUGCCCCGAGGCAUCUCGCAGCAAGAACUUGAACUCGAUCAGCUUGUUUGCCGGCAAAUCCUGUCCAGCCCAAAAGCGAUCGGGUCACACACCACCAUGGAAGGACGCACACUGACUGAAUCUCACCGUCUUCGCCGUCCAGACGUGGUCUUCCGACCAAUCCAAAGCGGUCGCCUUGCUCGGAUCCCACUGGCCCAGCGCUGGGGCGUCGCCGACGACGAGGAACUGCUGCCCGAACGCGCACUGCUUCUUCAGCACGAACUUGACGCGGACCAUCUUGCUCCCGGGAACUAGCGCGAUCUCUUCACAAGAGAGACAUGUCAUCAUUGACAGGGGGUGGAGCUCGUACCGUCAGCGUCGGGGUAAGGCAGGUUUCCGGCAGGAACAGUGGAGUUCGCCUCAUCGUCAUCCUCAAGCACCUGUGCCAAAAACGAUGGAGUUCACAGUUGGGUGAUCGCAUCA